UAGUAGCUAAAACAGGCUGAGCUUCCACUCUGAGCCAGGUCCCUGCUAGACAGCUGGGCUCCUUGCUUAGGUCCCGAUCCUGGAAGCAGAUUCUGAUUUGUUGCUGUGCAAGAGAUUCCUUUUGAAGGUGUCCCUGGGUACAGAGACUGACUGUGCUGGAGAUUGAAUCCUGGGGCUCACACAUGCUGGGAGAGCACUGUACCACUGAGCUACGCCCCCCGCCCUUUUCAUUUUAUUUGGAGACAAAUGAGGUGAACAGAAAAUGGAUGGCAACCUUCAGCCGCAAGAGGCCCAAGGCCCAGGGAGCCAGCUGCAGUCACUCGGGCAGCGGGGAUCACAGGCAACCACCCCAGCCACCCCCACUCCCACUCCAGGCCGGGGUCCCUGGCACAGGGCGGGAAGGGAGGCAGUGAAGCUCAGGAAAGGGGUGGUGGUCGGGGAGCAGGAGGAGGGAGGGUGUGUGUGGGGGCCUCAGCUUCCCCCUGGUUCAGUUAGAGGCCAGAGACUUUGAAGAGAAGCAUUAGAGUUUCAAACAACUGGGAUUUCUGGGCCUCUCCUUGUCGCUGCAGAAUCUUGGGGCAAGACAGAAGCUCUUUAUUCUUGAGCUGAUCUCAAGGGACUGGAGGGUCAAGAAAAUGGACACAACCCUGGCAGAGGCCUCAGCAGCCCCAAAGGUGCAUUUUUCUACUUCAAAACUGUCCUAGAACCUUGAGGCUCAGGCAGUGGAGGUCUUAGACUCUGGAAAGUUUAUUUUCCUAGAAACUCAGGUGCCUCACCCUGAAGGCACUAGGGACCACUCUCCACCCACCGGCCCUGCGAGGAAUGUGACUUCCUUGGUUCUUCAAGAAUGCAAGGGAAUUUCCACUUCCGCCCCUCCCACUCGGCUGUCUGUGCCCCCAUGUUUCCUCCUCUCCGGGCUGGGUUCCAUGGCCGGGGAACACCAGCCGGAGAAUGGGGCUGGAUCAGUGGGCCCCAAAGAACGGCUUUGUUUUCACAAGUAUCAUUCGAAAUGUGGGAUCUUAGAAUCUCAAAACCACAAAACAGCAUCACUUAAUUCUCAUCUCUAAGAGGAUGGAUAAAUAAAGACCCGUGAAGUAAUAAACAGGAUGCACCAGCUAUAGGUAAUUCAUUUGAGCCACCCGUAUCGUCGUGGGUAAAUCUCAAAGCCAUAAUGGUAAGUAGGGGGACAAAAGGCAAAUUAAGAAUUUGGCUGAUUUGGUACCAUAGAUAUAAAUAUCAAGAGCCUACCCACAGUAGGGACACACUCAUGAGCAUGCAUUAAAUAGUAAAUCAUGCCGGGUGGGAAACCCACACACCUACUCCCCCAGAGACUUUCCUUUUUAGAGGGGAGGGAGUUGGAGAGAAGGAGAAAGAACUGUGUGGGAAAGUAGUAUGUGGAGGAGGGCCCAAUUGUCCUGCAACAAUUUGCUUCCUGGAAAAGGUAAUAAGUGAUAAAAGAUGUGUAUGGGUUUUGAAUGCAGCUGUGAUUUAUGUGCGUGGGUUUGAGUCUGUCAGUUGCCUAGGAAGUUUUCUAGGGUGGGCUGAGGCUCACUUCUUUUACCUCCAAUUCCAUUGCUACAAUUUAUGUUGCUUGUAGCUGGGGUCUGUUCCUGCUCACUGCAGGGGAGCUUUGCACUGAGUCAAGAUACCAGAAGAGGCAGAUCCCCAGACCUCUCAGACUCUGCUGGUGGAGUGCAAAUUGAUACAACUACAUGGGAAAUCAGUUUGGCAGGAUCUCAUGAAACCCAGUCGUCUGCAAUUCCACGCCUAAGGUCAAUCCCCAAGAGAAACCCAUACAUACAUACAUAUAUAUCUACACACACACACACACCAGCAAACGUGACCGGAAUGCUCAUAACAGCUCUGCCCGCAAUAGCAAAAACCUGGAAAUAACCCAAGAGUGGAUGAAUACAUUUACUUUCUGACAAAAUAAAUUUUUAAAAAGAAAUAAAUGUUAAGAACUGAAGCAGGUCAGGCAUACUUUUAAUAUAAGUUAAAACUGGAGAGAGGGCACAUUGGGCUGAAUUAUAUUAUUCUUUGGGUGUUUGAAGGAACUCAUAAUAAAAAGAGAUGGCAUUUUUUAAAA